CAGUCGCCGCGGUAAUACAGAGGGUGCGAGCGUUAAUCGGAAUUACUGGGCGUAAAGCGCGCGUAGACGGUUUGGUAAGUCAGAUGUGAAAUCCCCGGGCUCAACCUGGGAACUGCAUUUGAUACUGCCUGGCUAGAGUAUUGAAGAGGGAAGUGGAAUUUCCGGUGUAGCGGUGAAAUGCGUAGAUAUCGGAAGGAACACCAGUGGCGAAAGCGACUUCCUGGUCAAAUACUGACGUUCAUGUGCGAAAGCGUGGGGAGCAAACAGGAUUAGAUACCCCAGUAGUCCCUGUCUCUUAUAC
rnacentral:rRNA from 1 species